rnacentral:rRNA from 1 species
GGCGAGUGAAGCGGCAACAGCUCAAAUUUGAAAUCUGGCUCUUUUAGAGUCCGAGUUGUAAUUUGCAGAGGGCGCUUUGGCUUUGGCAGCGGUCCAAGUUCCUUGGAACAGGACGUCACAGAGGGUGAGAAUCCCGUACGUGGUCGCUGGCUAUUGCCGUGUAAAGCCCCUUCGACGAGUCGAGUUGUUUGGGAAUGCAGCUCUAAAUGGGAGGUACAUUUCUUCUAAAGCUAAAUAUUGGCCAGAGACCGAUAGCGCACAAGUAGAGUGAUCGAAAGAUGAAAAGCACUUUGGAAAGAGAGUCAAACAGCACGUGAAAUUGUUGAAAGGGAAGCGCUUGCAGCCAGACUUGCUUACAGUUGCUCAUCCGGGUUUCUACCCGGUGCACUCUUCUGUAGGCAGGCCAGCAUCAGUUUGGGCGGUAGGAUAAAGGUCUCUGUCACGUACCUCCUUUCGGGGAGGCCUUAUAGGGGAGACGACAUACUACCAGCCUGGACUGAGGUCCGCGCAUCUGCUAGGAUGCUGGCGUAAUGGCUGUAAGCGGCCCGUCUUGAAACACGGACC